rnacentral:ncRNA from 2 species
AACAUCCCCGCGGAAGAGACCGGGACUGGUUCAGGCCAGACCCGGCGCCGAAGGCGCAACCGCCCCGGAAACGCUCAGGCAAACGGACCGCGUGGGAACU